rnacentral:rRNA from 2 species
UUAAGCGACUAAGCGUACACGGUGGAUGCCCUGGCAGUCAGAGGCGAUGAAGGACGUGCUAAUCUGCGAAAAGCGUCGGUAAGGUGAUAUGAACCGUUAUAGCCGGCGAUGUCCGAAUGGGGAAACCCAGUGCAAUUCGUUGCACUAUCGUUAACUGAAUACAUAGGUUAACGAGGCGAACCGGGGGAACUGAAACAUCUAAGUACCCCGAGGAAAAGAAAUCAACCGAGAUUCCCCCAGUAGCGGCGAGCGAACGGGGAGCAGCCCAGAGUCUGAAUCAGCUUGUGUGUUAGUGGAACGGUCUGGAAAGUCCGACGGUACAGGGUGAUAGUCCCGUACACCAAAAUGCACAGGCUGUGAACUCGAAGAGUAGGGCGGGACACGUGGUAUCCUGUCUGAAUAUGGGGGGACCAUCCUCCAAGGCUAAAUACUCCUGACUGACCGAUAGUGAACCAGUACCGUGAGGGAAAGGCGAAAAGAACCCCGGCGAGGGGAGUGAAAAAGAACCUGAAACCGUGUACGUACAAGCAGUGGGAGCACCUUCGGGUGUGACUGCGUACCUUUUGUAUAAUGGGUCAGCGACUUAUAUUCUGUAGCAAGGUUAACCGUAUAGGGGAGCCGCAGGGAAACCGAGUCUUAACUGGGCGUUAAGUUGCAGGGUAUAGACCCGAAACCCGGUGAUCUAGCCAUGGGCAGGUUGAAGGUUGGGUAACACUAACUGGAGGACCGAACCGACUAAUGUUGAAAAAUUAGCGGAUGACUUGUGGCUGGGGGUGAAAGGCCAAUCAAACCGGGAGAUAGCUGGUUCUCCCCGAAAGCUAUUUAGGUAGCGCCUCGUGAAUUCAUCUUCGGGGGUAGAGCACUGUUUCGGCUAGGGGGUCAUCCCGACUUACCAACCCGAUGCAAACUACGAAUACCGAAGAAUGUUAUCACGGGAGACACACGGCGGGUGCUAACGUCCGUCGUGAAGAGGGAAACAACCCAGACCGCCAGCUAAGGUCCCAAAGUCAUGGUUAAGUGGGAAACGAUGUGGGAAGGCACAGACAGCCAGGAUGUUGGCUUAGAAGCAGCCAUCAUUUAAAGAAAGCGUAAUAGCUCACUGGUCGAGUCGGCCUGCGCGGAAGAUGUAACGGGGCUAAACCAUGCACCGAAGCUGCGGCAGCGACACUAUGUGUUGUUGGGUAGGGGAGCGUUCUGUAAGCCUGCGAAGGUGACCUGUGAGGGUUGCUGGAGGUAUCAGAAGUGCGAAUGCUGACAUAAGUAACGAUAAAGCGGGUGAAAAGCCCGCUCGCCGGAAGACCAAGGGUUCCUGUCCAACGUUAAUCGGGGCAGGGUGAGUCGACCCCUAAGGCGAGGCCGAAAGGCGUAGUCGAUGGGAAACAGGUUAAUAUUCCUGUACUUGGUGUUACUGCGAAGGGGGGACGGAGAAGGCUAUGUUAGCCGGGCGACGGUUGUCCCGGUUUAAGCAUGUAGGCUGGUUAUCCAGGCAAAUCCGGAUAAUCAAGGCUGAGGUGUGAUGACGAGGCACUACGGUGCUGAAGUAACAAAUGCCCUGCUUCCAGGAAAAGCCUCUAAGCAUCAGGUAACAUCAAAUCGUACCCCAAACCGACACAGGUGGUCAGGUAGAGAAUACCAAGGCGCUUGAGAGAACUCGGGUGAAGGAACUAGGCAAAAUGGUGCCGUAACUUCGGGAGAAGGCACGCUGGUGUGUAGGUGAAGUCCCUGCGGAUGGAGCUGAGACCAGUCGAAGAUACCAGCUGGCUGCAACUGUUUAUUAAAAACACAGCACUGUGCAAACACGAAAGUGGACGUAUACGGUGUGACGCCUGCCCGGUGCCGGAAGGUUAAUUGAUGGGGUUAUCCGUAAGGAGAAGCUCUUGAUCGAAGCCCCGGUAAACGGCGGCCGUAACUAUAACGGUCCUAAGGUAGCGAAAUUCCUUGUCGGGUAAGUUCCGACCUGCACGAAUGGCGUAAUGAUGGCCAGGCUGUCUCCACCCGAGACUCAGUGAAAUUGAACUCGCUGUGAAGAUGCAGUGUACCCGCGGCAAGACGGAAAGACCCCGUGAACCUUUACUAUAGCUUGACACUGAACAUUGAGCCUUGAUGUGUAGGAUAGGUGGGAGGCUUUGAAGCGUGGACGCCAGUCUGCGUGGAGCCAACCUUGAAAUACCACCCUUUAAUGUUUGAUGUUCUAACGUUGGCCCCUUACCGGGGUUGCGGACAGUGUCUGGUGGGUAGUUUGACUGGGGCGGUCUCCUCCCAAAGCGUAACGGAGGAGCACGAAGGUUAGCUAAUCCUGGUCGGACAUCAGGAGGUUAGUGCAAUGGCAUAAGCUAGCUUGACUGCGAGCGUGACGGCGCGAGCAGGUGCGAAAGCAGGUCAUAGUGAUCCGGUGGUUCUGAAUGGAAGGGCCAUCGCUCAACGGAUAAAAGGUACUCCGGGGAUAACAGGCUGAUACCGCCCAAGAGUUCAUAUCGACGGCGGUGUUUGGCACCUCGAUGUCGGCUCAUCACAUCCUGGGGCUGAAGUAGGUCCCAAGGGUAUGGCUGUUCGCCAUUUAAAGUGGUACGCGAGCUGGGUUUAGAACGUCGUGAGACAGUUCGGUCCCUAUCUGCCGUGGGCGCUGGAGAAUUGAGGGGGGCUGCUCCUAGUACGAGAGGACCGGAGUGGACGCAUCACUGGUGUUCGGGUUGUCAUGCCAAUGGCACUGCCCGGUAGCUAAAUGCGGAAGAGAUAAGUGCUGAAAGCAUCUAAGCACGAAACUUGCCCCGAGAUGAGUUCUCCCUGAGACUUUAAGUCUCCUGAAGGAACGUUAAAGACGAUGACGUUGAUAGGCCGGGUGUGUAAGCGCAGCGAUGCGUUGAGCUAACCGGUACUAAUGAACCGUGAGGCUUAACCUU